UCACCAUGUGAAGUCACAAUGAGAAGGUGUCAUUUAUGAACCAGAAGUAGGCCUUCACCAGACGCCAAAUCUGCUGGCACCUUGAUCUUGGGCUUCCAGCCUCAGAACUCCUUUUAAUCUGUUUUGAGGCUGGAGGAUGGCGUGCUCUUCGUCUGCCCUCAUUCUGGGAAACUGGAGGACACUUCUAAGUGCUCGAAGCUUCCUGCCCUCAAACAUCGGACUCCAAGUUCUUCAGCUUUGGAACUUGACUGGCUCUUCUUGCUCCUCAGCUUGCAGACAGCCUAUUGUGGGACCUUGUGAUUGUUGUAAAGAAGGAAACGCUGAGAAAACCCAACCAGGGAGCUCGCCUUGGCCAUGAAGAACAAGCCACACCACAGUGGGACGUCUUCCAAAGUUUCCUGCCAUCUACGGGAACGUGGAGGGCCUACUUUUUCUGGCAAGUACCUAGCUGAGCUGAGAAGGGAAUGACAGGCCACAGGCCACAGUGUGAGCCAGCGUGGGCAUGUUUU